rnacentral:lncRNA from 1 species
CCAUAUGCAUACAUGAGUGCUCUACAGAGAUGAUGGUACAUAUCUGAUUCACUAAUGUUGGAAUGGAAGGCAUUGGGGAUUACACGCGACAUGGGGUUUUUAGUGUCAUCCACGGAUUCUCUAUGUACACGUGAUGUUAACACCUGAAUGGCCACCACUAAUGAGAUAAGGCCGGUUAAGUGUAAUCAGCUGCAGCUUAUACAUAGAGCCAAAUAAAGGAAACAUUGUCUGAUGGUAUCGAAAGCAAUGUUU